AAAACUGAGGCUUGCAGAGAUUAAGCGAUUUGUCCCAAAUCAUACAGCUGUUAAACUGUCAGGGUUCAUACCCGUAUUUUUGAAUAUGUAACCCGGUUAACGUGUUAACUCCUUCCACUACAUGACUUCAUGACUGCCUAGAGCAUCCUCAGAACCUCACCGACACGCGAUCACAAGGUGGUUGGUUAGCCCUACAGAGAAAAUGCUGCAUUAACUUUGGAGAGAAAGGCUAUAAGAGAGAUUAAGAAGGGAGGAAAGGAAAAUAGAAAAUACCAUGUAAUCAUCAAGAAAAUGUACUGGGAAAAAAAAAAAAAAACAGAAUGGACAACCACUGGAAAACCUACCAUCAUAACCUUUGCCACUAGCAAAAAAGUGAAAGGAAAACCAAACGGCGGAUCAUGCUUGGUGGCAAGACUGGCACAAAAGAUUAAAUCGUAUCACCUAGAGAGCGGCCGACACGAUGAUUACCCACCAUUAUGCACGGGGUACUGGAAAUGUUUAUGAGAGACAGGGAGGUCAGGAGGGGGUACGACGAGGAGGAGAAACCGAAGGACGCAAGAAAGAACGAACCAAAGGUGACAGGCGAUGGAGCAGGCACGACGGGAUGGGUAAACUUGCCUCAACACUAUCGCUUAGAAACUGUUUAACGUGGAUGGCAAAUGUCAAAACCAAGAUACAAACUCAACUGUGACUACAAUACAAGAGUGGUCUUAACCACUUCGUUAUCUUGA